rnacentral:rRNA from 1 species
UUAGGGAAUUUUCGCACUGGGCGCAAGCCUGACGAAGUGACGCCGCGUGCGGGAGGAAGGCCUUCGGGUCGUAAACCGCUUUUCGGGGGGACGAGAAGGACGGUACCCCCGGAAGAAGCCCCGGCUAACUACGUGCCAGCAGCCGCGGUAAGACGUAGGGGGCGAGCGUUGUCCGGAAUCACUGGGCGUAAAGCGCGCGUAGGCGGCGCGGCGCAUCCACCGUGAAAGCCCACGGCUCAACUGGGGGAGGUCGGUGGAGAUGGUCGCGCUGGAGGGCAGUAGAGGCAGGCGGAAUUCCCGGAGGAGCGGUGACAUGCGUAGAGACCGGGAGGAACACCCGUGGCGAAGGCGGUCUGCUGGGCUGAGCCUGACGCUGAGGCGCGAAAGCCAGGGGAGCGAACGG